UCAUCUAGUCCCUGAAAAGGAAUAUUAACUUUAUUUCAGCCCAAACUAAGACAGGGGAUUACAACAUAUUACUGGCAUUCCACAAUCUCCGACAGGCCAGGCAAUUAUAGAACGUACACAUCAAACGUUAAAACAUUAUUUGCAAAAACAAAACCAAGGGGAAUUUGGAGAGACACCAGGAAGCAGAUUAAUGAAAGUACAGUAUGUCAUGAACUUUUUAUGAUUAGCAGGGAAAGACACUAUUCCUCCCAUUGUGAAACAUAUGCAAGCUAUGUCAACAGGAAUGUCAACAUAUAAAGAACAAAUUAAGGUGUUAGUGAAAAACAAGGAAGGAAUAUGGGAAGGACCGUUUCAAUUAGUAACAUGGGGAAGAGGUUAUGCUUGUGUCAUUACAGAUAGUGGACCUACGUGGAUCCAGGCAAAAUGGGUGAAACCGGCAGUAGAAAAGGAACCUUCGUCAGAUGGAUCAUCUUUGGAGCAGCAAUCACCGCGACAGAGACAGCAGGACCAUGGACCAUCCAAACAAGACAAAGCUUAUGGGUGUCUUUUGCAAACUUAACAGGGCAAACAUUGUGUCUGUCAUUAGCCACACCCGGAGAUCAAUUCAGAACAUGUCUUAUUGGGAAGGCGGUGAAGGACUUUAAAGAUUUUUGGGAUGUAUUCAAGGGAUGAUUCGACGACAAUAUCAACAACUGCAUGCCUUGGUUGUUGAAAGCAUAAAAGGGGGAAUUGUGGAGACAUUUUACAUCAGUGAAGGCCAUGAUGCUCUUGAAGGCUUUUGAAUAACAGAAAAAUAAGGGCUUUGAAUAACAGAAAAAUAAGGUAACAACAGACCUUGAAGGUUUGUGAAUAACAGAAAAACAGGGUUUCUGAAUAACAGAAAAAUAAAGUAACAACAGACCUUGAAGGUUUUGGAAUAUCAGGAGAAUAAGGUUUUGGAAUAACAGAAAAGUAAGAACAUUAUCAGUGAACAACAGAGGACUUUGGAAGAACGCCCGGAGCAAAAGAGUUAUUGUGACAAAGGAAAAAAAAGACAUGUGUAGUUAAGCUAGCCAAUCAAAUGUUAGAACAGGUGUGUGAGUAAUGUAUGUUAACCAAUAAGAAUUUAUGUUGGGGGGAUUGACAACUUUGUAGGGGGAUAAAAACGCAGCUUUCUGAAUAACAAAGGGUCUUCGAUCUUAA